UACGUAGGCAGCAAGCGUUGCUCGGAGUUACUGGGCGUAAAGAGUGUGUAGGCGGUUUUCUAAGUUUGGUGUGAAAUCUCCCGGCUUAACUGGGAGGGUGCGCCGAAGACUGGAAGGCUUGAGUAUGGGAGAGGAAAGCGGAAUUCCUGGUGUAGCGGUGAAAUGCGUAGAUAUCAGGAGGAACACCUGUGGUGUAGACGGCUUUCUGGACCAUCACUGACGCUGAGACACGAAAGCGUGGGUAGCAAACAGG
rnacentral:rRNA from 1 species